UGGGGAAUAUUGCACAAUGGAGGGAACUCUGAUGCAGCGACGCCGCGUGAGUGAUGAAGGAAUUCGUUUCGUAAAACUCUGCUCUAUGGGAAGAAAAGGACUGUACCAUAGGAGAAAGCUCCGGCUAAAUACGUGCCAGCAGCCGCGGUAAUACGUAUGGAGCGAGCGUUGUCCGGAAUUAUUGGGCGUAAAGGGUGCGCAGGCGGCUUUACAAGUUGGAUGUGAAAUAUUGUGGCUCAACCACAAACGUGCAUCCAAAACUGCAAAGCUUGAGUUAAGGAGAAGUAAGUGGAAUACCGGGUGUAGAGGGAGAAUGCGUAGAUAGCAGGAGGAAUACAGGUGGCGAGGGCGACUUACUGGACUUAAACUGACGCUAAGGCACGAAAGAGUGGGGAGCAAACAGG
rnacentral:rRNA from 1 species